GCCCUAGUAGCUCAGUUGGAAGAGCGCCAGACUUUUAAUCUGGUGGCCAUGGGUUCGAGCCCCAUUUAGGGUA
rnacentral:tRNA from 1 species